rnacentral:snRNA from 1 species
AUCACUUCUCAGCCUUUUGGCUAAGAUCAUGUGUAGUAUCUGUUGUGAUAAGUUUAAUAUCUGAUACGUCCUCUAUCCGAGGACAAUAUAUUAAACGGAUUUUUGGAAACAGGAGAUGGAAUAGGAGCUUGCUCCGUUCACUCAAUGCAUCGACUUGGUAUUGCAGUACCUCUAGGAAUGGUGCAUUAAAA